rnacentral:rRNA from 1 species
UACGGAGGAUCCAAGCGUUAUCCGGAAUCACUGGGCGUAAAGCGUCUGUAGGUGGUUUAAUAAGUCAACUGUUAAAUCUUGAGGCUCAACCUCAAAAUCGCAGUCGAAACUAUUAGGCUAGAGUAUAGUAGGGGUAAAGGGAAUUUCCAGUGGAGCGGUGAAAUGCGUAGAGAUUGGAAAGAACACCGAUGGCGAAGGCAGCCCCCUGGGUCGACACUGACGCUCAGGCACGAAAGCGUGGGGAGCAAACAGG